AGGAUAAUAGUUAAAUAUAACGUUUGAUUUGCAUUCAAAAAAUGUUGAAAUAUCAACUUAUCUUA
rnacentral:tRNA from 2 species